GGGGAUUUAGCUCAGUGGUAGAGCGCUUGCCUAGCAAGCGCAAGGCCUGCGUUCAGUCCCCA
rnacentral:tRNA from 1 species